UUCUAAUUCUACAUCUGUUCUUCAAUAUCCAUUCUUUAUUUCAUUGAAUUUGAUUUGUGGUAGUAUUGUUUUUUUAAUUUGUAAUUGGGUAUGAAUUAUUUUUAUUAUUAGUGGAAUAGUUUUCUGGCACCACUCACAACAAUGGAACCGUUAGAGCUGCCACUGCGCCGAUUCCACAGCACAACAUAUCUUUAAUUUAUUCUAUAAUUGUAUAAUUCGUAUUUUUUGUUGUUGGUUUUUUUUUUAAUUUUUUUUCUGGGUUAUUACUUUUGAGUUAAUGUUUUUUUAAAUUAAUUAAUUGUUUAUAUAUAUUUUUUAAUUAUUCUGCUGAAAGAAUCUGAUGGGAAAUUUGAAAUCCUGGUUUUUUAUACCAGGGUAAGGAAACUAAAAAAACGAGUAGGAAAAUAAACCCAUGAAUCUAAUUAUUGAAGCUAUUUGAAAUGUAUUUGAACUACAUUAAUAUGUUGUUGGAUAAUGAAUGAAGUUGACUCUUGUAAACUAAGCUGAAAGUGCAAGUAUUAGACAAGAUGAAGUAGUGAGAACUUCUAUCUUAAUGUCCAAUAUAGUGUCUUAACAUUUCAAAUGAUCUGUUGAGGUCCUUAAAUGACAUGCAUCUUCCAAAACAUUAGAAAUUUAUCAUGGGUGGCAGUUUCAUAGGUAGCUCCACCUAUCUUGCUCGUUGAGCUUUUCAAGUUGGCUCUUGUAAACCGAGCUGAAAGUGUAAGUAACAAUUGAAGAUCUUGUAAUUAACGUAUUCUAAGUGUUGCGAGUACUACUUAUUUGUAGCUAAGAUCUUGUAAUUAAAAUAAUUGAAGUUUGCUUUGUUAGCUAAGUUGCUUUAUUUGUAUAGCUAUUCGUCUUGGUGACCAUUCAUAAGACUCAUGAAAAAAUUAUCGUGUUUAUGCUCUUGAACAAUACAAAUCUUGAGAACAUAAGAUUCCUUUAACACUCUUUUUACUUUCAAGUGAAAGAGAUAUAUCGUGGGCUCAUGGUAUAGUAGAUAACAAAAAAUUACUUAUGUUUGAUUGUGAAGUAUAUUAGUGUGGAAUGCUUUGUAUGGACACAUGACAUUGUUUGACCAACUAAUGGCUUCUUGCUUUUGAUCAAUAAUAGGAACCAUUUGAGAUAAAUCAAGAGUCGACAAUUGUUAAAUCUUGAUUGUUUAGCAUUGUGCUGAAGGUCGUUGUAUUAAAUUUUACUUGAUGUGGACUCAGAUAUAUAAAUGAAUGUGUGAAUAAAUAAUACGCUUGUAUGUGUGAAGGUUUUGGUGAAUCCCGGAAUGAAAUGGUAAGGGAUAGCUGCUUCUGACCCUGUUACACCUUUGUUUUGAUCUGCUAACGGCUAACCCAAUAGUUGAUUUGGCCUGAGUGGGAAGAGAAAUUCUCAUUUGCAUGUCCAUUGAAGUCUGGAAAAUCUAAACAUAUCAUAGAUAAGUCAGAUAGCUAGUGGGGAUAAUUAGAGGUAGGAACUUAUUGAGUGAACUGUAUCAUCUUUUAGUAGUUUGUAGGUGACAGGGGAUAGGAAACCUUGAACCCAAGUUCUACAAUGACUAUUGAGUGUGAUGGUGUGGUUGCUGAAGUUGUACAUUUCCUGGACCUUUUAUUCUAAUAUUUAAGGGUUCAAGAAACUACAGGUUUAUAUGGGAUUGGGUUGAUUGGUUGUUAUAUGAUUUCUCAUGAAAAAAUAUUACUCAUUUUUUAGAAACUAUGCUACUUCUUAACACAUGACCCUUUUCAUCUCAUCAGAGGCCGCAAAUAUUCUCAUCUGCUUUCCAGUCUCUUUCACUCUUACUUUUUCUCAAGGAGUCACUCUUGUCGCAAUUCAAUGGAAUAUAUUGUGAUUUAAUUAUUGAUUUUCUUCAAUUGAACGUAAGCAAUCACAAAGCUCGUGAAUUUGGGUGGUUAGUACAUUCCAAUGGCGGCUAGAAGUGGGAGAAAGCUUUUAAGCAAGCUUGAUGUUAUUUUUUCAAGGUAAUUCUGCAGGCUGGUCAGUGUUCAGUGAAGCAGGACAGGGAAGCAGGCAAGGGAAGUGUUAGAGUUCCGGUGCUGCAGUGUUUUAUGGUGUCAAUUCUGGUCAUAGUUGACCAGCGUUGACUUUGUAGUUCUUAAGUUUUCUUUUCUUAGUUGAGCCUGUUUUUGCUCGGCUUUUGUUUUGUUUUGUUUUGUAGGAGUCUAGUUUUUUUUUUUUUUUUUUGUAGGAGUCUAGUUUUUUUGUUUUGUUUUGUUGGUUGAAGUGGUAAAUCCCUCCCCACAUGUGUACAUACAUUUUUGUGGUUAUAAGGUAGUGCUUUGUUGUAAAAAAGGUAAUGAGCACUACUUUGUAACAUUUGUAGUUAUGUCCUAUAAUAUUUUGGACAAUGUACAUGGCUGAAGUAUAUAUGAAUGGAGCAUUCUUUCUCUUA